GUGCACCUAUUGACAGCCCAGCAGUCCAGUAAUGUGAUUUUCUUGGGUUUCUACAUUGAGGUGCAAGAUUAAGGUAUUCCUCGCGCUUUCUUCCUGUUCCCCUCGUAACAGUUCAGAUUGAAUAGAGGAAUACAUAC